GAGGAUGUAGCCUAAAGGAAGAGGGCUUGUCUAGCAUGCAUGAAGCCCUGGGUUAAAUCCCCAGCAUCCCA
rnacentral:tRNA from 1 species